GCAGCUGAGAUGGGAGGUGGAGGGAGGUGGGGGGAGGAGGAGAGGGAGAGGAGGAGGAGGAGAAAGAGGAGAAGGGCUUAAGGAGCAAGUAUCGGGCAGAGGAAGGGAAGUCGCAAUGAGAAAGAUCAGGGUGUUAUAGGGUGGAGAGGGGAAGGAGAAAGCUGGAUAUGGAAGCAGAGGAAGGAAAUAUGGAUCAACAAAAUUUAGAUUUCCUACUACAGUGGAUAGAUGCCUGGCCAGAAAAGCCAAAAGCCCGUGAAUGCGGUGCAUAAGCGACCCACAAGCUCUCGUGCGUCUGUCGGUGAGAGUGCACCGCCGACUGCGUCCUGCUGACAGUGUGACCCCAGAGCGCCAAGGCCGGCCGGCCACAUGCAGCCUACUGGCGGCGCAUCAGAUCAGCAGUAACGACGUCCACCUGAAGGUGGUUGGGGGAAGAGGGGAGCGCUAAGGGAUCCUGCCCUGCCUGGCCGCCCAGGUUCCUGGGCUCCCUAAACGGCUCCGCCCCUCACCCAGCCUGGCACCAGGGCACGUACUCGGGCGAACCCAGCGCGCUGCCCCAAGCCCUGGAUCCCUCCCUCCCUCCCAACCCUCCUCAGCUUCCUCGAAAAAGCGGAGAAGCGGAAUCUGCACGCCCAGAAACUCGCGUCAGAAGCCUUAGUAGUCCGACUGGGCAUGCUCGGGACUUGGGGCGCUUCGCAUGGAGGCACUCUCCAGCGGCUAACAUCUGUCCGACUGGGCCAGAUGUGAGUCUGAAGUAGGAGGCUUGGAUGCACGCUAGAGCAGGCUCUGGUUCCGGGAGGGGUGGCGGCGACGCCCACAGCAGUCUUCUUUCCGGCUUCCCACAGAGAGCAAGACCGUGGGAGAUACCAAGUGCCGAGCCAGGGGAGCUGCACAAACUGGAGAAAUAGGAGUCUAGCGGAUUCCCAGGCCUCCUGCCCCGCGGUGCCACCCCAGCCGUAGGCAGGUAGGGGGCGCGCAGAGCAGCUAGGGAGCACCGCGUGUGCUCCCAAGGGACUGCUGACCUCUAGGUAAAGAAAAGAGAGCGUGAAGAGUCGAACAUUCUUUGGGCGAAGGACGUUUACUGAUUUUUUUUUUUUUAAGUAAAGAAAGAAGGGCGUGUGUGAAUGCGUAUAUGUGCACGCACGUUUUAAAUUUUCCUCCGCAAGAACAGGGACAGGAGAGCGAGAAGCUAUUGCCGAGUUGGGAACCCGCUAGAGGUUACAAUAAGGCAGGCUUGGAGUCGUGGCUGGUGCUAGUUACCGGGAAGAGUUCCUCUUGGCGCGGUGGGCGAACACCAAAGCUUCCAACUGUUCCCUUCCCUGGGUGGCGGCAGCUGCCCAAGGUCGGCUUCCGGGCUGGUCUCUGUGCUCCUGAGCAGGGGGACCAGAUUCAGUUUCAGAAAGAGAGGUAGUACAGAGUGACGCCAGGGGGAGUUCUCUGAACCGUGUGUUCCCAUUUUCCCAGCUUUUGAUAUAGGUAUUUGCAAAGAGGGAGCAUUGUAAGACCAUCACACCACCAAGGGGAGGAAAUACAAAGAGCUGAACACUCUAGGGGGAAGAAUCAGGGAAUCAAGAGCACGUUUAUUCCCAUCGUCCCUUCCCAACAAGGUCUUCAGCUUCAGGCAGGAAUCAUUUGGAUCCCUGCGGCUCAACACCCUCCCACUCCCGUCCCGCCCCACCGCCCUGCCAACAAAGAAACAAAAGAUGACAACCAGGCUCUGUAGGGGCAUAGCAACUGCUUCUAUCACCGGCUCUCUGUUGGGCUGUUGAGAAAGCAGUAGUGAAAGGAUGGGUAUAAAACCUGUGUCUUGCCACAAAUAUGUAAACGAAACCUUCCUAAAACCCACUACCCUCCUACAAAACAAAAACAAGUUAUUUGUAUAAACAUAUAUAGAUUUAAGUAUCCUAAAUAAAGAUUCCACAUUAUGAACUGCCCAAACCCUGAACUGUGGAAGGAAGACUUUCAGGAUACCUCCUCAAUCCUUACCAAAGAGUUCUGGAAGGAGAAAAAAAAGAAACAUCUGGCCAGUCACUUCUCCAAUGACUGGAAAUACUCUGGGUGUUUCCGUAACCAGCGAUUAAGAAAAGAACUCCCCAUAACAAAAAGGGAAUUCUGGCCAAAUGGGACAUGGACAAACCCUAAUGACCAAGGAAAUGGAAUAUGAAUUUAAAAGCAUGAUUAUCUCACUCUCAUUCUUGCUGUUCCUUUGUUACUCUUCUUGAAGAUACUGGCAGAAAGGGAGAGUUGAUACUUAGGGAUUUCAUGAAAGGAGGCCGAGUUUGUUUCUCUCCUGGCAAUUCAGCAGUCCCUGUAAUCAUUUUUUUUUAGAAAUUCUCUACCACCUCCUCUUUAUGCUGUAUUUUCUCUAGCAUUCUUCCCUCUCAUUUCCUUACUGGUCUCCUGUGGCUCCCUGGUGUCCUUAAUUCAUUUGGUCUGCACCUGUCUCCCUUUAGUUCCUUCAAAACAUUGUUUCCAGUCCUAAUUCCGAAGUACAGAGGGCUCUGUCACUUUUCUCUGUUUCCUAAGAACUGAUUUGCUGCUUCUAGACGCCUAUAUCCUGAUAUUGUAGGUGGAUUUCCUAAGGCAUUUAUUCAACUUUAGAGAUUCCCCAGACACAUUUAAGCAACAUGAAAUUGCAGAAUUUUCAAGUAGUUUUGCUCAUGGGACCAAGAAUUUCUAUUUCAAAUAUGAAUAUCAGGAAGAAGACACACUAAAUUGCUAGUUUCAGAAUAGCCAAUGUAAAUAUAACAGAUUGUAAUGGAGCAUGCAAUCUCUAUAUGACAGUUGUCCAGUUGCCAAGUGUAUAUUAUUAAAAUAAUUUGCUAGGAAUUUUAAGAUAUAUACCUUUUUGUUAACAAAGACACACACACACACAUGCACUCAUACACCUUUUUAUGUUUAUUCCCAAAACUAAUGUAAUUACAUAAAUUCAAUUCAGCAAGUGAUUAUGGAACAUCUACUAUAUUCCAGGAACUGUGCCAGCAUUGGGAAUAGGCAAAGAAAUUGAGACUUAAAGAAGCUAAGAAAUGUUCAAAGAUGUGUGAACAAUUUGCUAAUCAACAAGUAUAUACUGUGUGACUGUUACCGUGUAUCUAGACUAUUUCACUCCUAGAGAACAAUAUUUAGAUGUUCUGGCCUUGAUUUUUUAAAUAUAUUUUUAAUCUAUAGGUUGCAUUCUGUGAGAAGAAUGCAUAAUGGAAAAUAUGACAUGUCAGUUUUGUUUCUAAGUACCCUCAUAAUAAGAAUGUAAGUACAAUAAUAUUUGUAUUAGUCUAUUCUCACGCUGCCAAUAAAGACAUACCUGAGAUUAAGUAACUUA